rnacentral:rRNA from 1 species
GAUGAACGCUGGCGGCGUGCCUAAUACAUGCAAGUCGAGCGAACAGAUGAGGAGCUUGCUCCUCUGACGUUAGCGGCGGACGGGUGAGUAACACGUGGAUAACCUACCUAUAAGACUGGGAUAACUUCGGGAAACCGGAGCUAAUACCGGAUAAUAUAUUGAACCGCAUGGUUCAAUAGUGAAAGUCGGUUUUGCUGUCACUUAUAGAUGGAUCUGCGCCGCAUUAGCUAGUUGGUAAGGUAACGGCUUACCAAGGCAACGAUGCGUAGCCGACGUGCGAGGGGGAUCGGCCACAUUGGAACUGAGACACGGUCCAUACUCCUACGGGAGGCAGCAGUAGGGAACCUUCCGCAAUGGGCGAAAGCCUGACGGAGCAACGCCGCGUGAGUGAUGAAGAUCUUCGGAUCGUAAAACUCUGUUAUGAGGGAAGAACAAAUGUGUAAGUAACUAUGCACGUCUUGACGGUACCUAAUCAGAAAGCCACGGCUAACUACGUG